UACGUAGGGUGCGAGCGUUGUCCGGAAUUACUGGGCGUAAAGGGCUCGUAGGCGGUUUGUCGCGUCGGGAGUGAAAACCUCGGGCUUAACUCGGGGCUUGCUUUCGAUACGGGCAGACUAGAGGUAUGCAGGGGAGAACGGAAUUCCUGGUGUAGCGGUGAAAUGCGCAGAUAUCAGGAGGAACACCGGUGGCGAAGGCGGUUCUCUGGGCAUGAUCUGACGCUGAGGAGCGAAAGUGUGGGGAGCGAACAGG
rnacentral:rRNA from 1 species